GAUGAAGAACGCAGCGAAAUGCGAUAAGUAAUGUGAAUUGCAGAAUUCAGUGAAUCAUCGAAUCUUUGAACGCACAUUGCGCCCCCUGGUAUUCCGGGGGGCAUGCCUGUUCGAGCGUCAUUUCACCACUCAAGCCUCGCUUGGUAUUGGGCAACGCGGUCCGCGGCGUGCCUCAAAUCGACCGGCUGGGUCUUCUGUCCCCUAAGCGUUGUGGAAACUAUUCGCUAAAGGGUGUUCGGGAGGCUACGCCGUAAAACAACCCCAUUUCUAAGGUUGACCUCGGAUCAGGUAGGGAUACCCGCUGAACUUAAGCAUAUCAAUAAGCGGAGGA
rnacentral:misc_RNA from 1 species